UACGAAGGGGGGCUAGCGUUGUUCGGAAUUACUGGGCGUAAAGCGCGCGUAGGCGGUGAUCCAUGUCAGAGGUGAAAUCCCGGGGCUCAACUCCGGAAUUGCCUUUGAAACGGGAUCGCUAGAGUCCGAGAGAGGAUGGCGGAAUUCCUAGUGUAGAGGUGAAAUUCGUAGAUAUUAGGAAGAACACCGGUGGCGAAGGCGGCCAUCUGGCUCGGUACUGACGCUCAGGCGCGAAAGCGUGGGGAGCAAACAGG
rnacentral:rRNA from 1 species